rnacentral:rRNA from 1 species
UUAAAGGGCUGCAGUAUAUUGACUGUACAAAGGUAGCAUAAUAAUUAGUCUUUUAAUUGAAGACUUGUAUGAAAGAUUUGAUGAAAUAUAAACUGUCUCUUUUUUAAAGUUAAAAUUUAAUUUUUUAGUAAAAAAGCUAAAAUUAAUUUAAAAGACGAGAAGACCCUAUAGAGUUUUAUAAUUAAAUUAAUUAAAAAUUUAUUUUUAAUUUUAAAAAUAAUUAGUUUAAUUAUUUUAUUGGGGUGAUAAAAAAAUUUAAAUAACUUUUUUUUUAUUUAAACAUUAAUUAAUGAAUAAUUGAUCCAUAAUUUAUGAUUAUAAGAAAAAAUUACCUUAGGGAUAACAGCGUAAUUUUUUUUUUUAGUUCUUAUAAAAAAAAAAGUUU